rnacentral:rRNA from 1 species
ACUGGAGUUUGAUCCUGGCUCAGGAUGAACGCUAGCGGCAGGCUUAACACAUGCAAGUCGAGGGGUAUAGUUCUUCGGAACUAGAGACCGGCGCACGGGUGCGUAACGCGUAUGCAAUCUACCUUUUACAGAGGGAUAGCCCAGAGAAAUUUGGAUUAAUACCUCAUAGUAUGUGAGAAUCGCAUGGUUUUCACAUUAAAGUUCCAACGGUAAAAGAUGAGCAUGCGUCCCAUUAGCUAGAUGGUAAGGUAACGGCUUACCAUGGCGACGAUGGGUAGGGGUCCUGAGAGGGAGAUCCCCCACACUGGUACUGAGACACGGACCAGACUCCGUACGGGAGGCAGCAGUGAGGAAUAUUGGACAAUGGGGCGCAAGCCUGAUCCCAGCCCAUGCCGCGUGCAGGAUGACGGUCCUAUGGAUUGUAAACUGCUUUUAG